UAGUCUCACAGACGGGGUCGGGUGCGCGGCAGACGGUGUGUUAAUUAAAACGAUACCACCCGUCGGCACGCGCGCGAAUUCAAAUUUCGCACAUAUGUCGAAUCUGUGCUUCGUACACGAGCCCUUCUCUCGCGUACGACACUUUUUCCGCUACGCGUUAAUUAAUCUUCUCUUAAAUCUCAAAUUAUGACCACACAGGACGAGUGUGAAUUAUUUGUAUAAUAUUAAAAAUGGGUCUCGCAUACUUCAAAACAUUAUCAAAAAUAUAAUAAUAUUCUAGCAUUACACAUGUGAGUGCCUGUGUAAAAUUUGAGCAAUUCACCGAUGGUUUAAGAGUUAUUUAACUUUUUGUUUAAUCUUGAUUCUUAUGUAAUUUACAUAUACUAAUUAAAAUCUAAUAAAUAUUCGUGCAAAAAUUUAUUGAGAUCCACUUGCUCGUUUAAAAGUUGUUUAUCUAAAACUGCAACAAAAUAAUAGUCAUUUUUGUUGCAAAAAUCAUUACAAAUCAAAUUUUUCAUUGUUUCUUUUUUUUUUGCAACUAAUUUCAGGGUCAAAAUUCAGGAAUUUGCAACCAAAAUUUUUUGUUUUUAAUUAAGAAAAAAAAAGAAUAAAUCUAGAGAAGCCUUCAACUUUCAAAUUUCAAUAAUUUUUAGCUCAUAAUGUAUACGAUCAAAAUAUGCAUUUUUAAAAUGCUACUUUGGUAUAUUUUUAAUUCUUUCCCUUAGCUUCUAGCAUUCAACAUAAUCUUUUAUUCAUUUUUUAUUCAUUAUUUCUCUACUUAUACAAAACAGUGUUUAAAUUCCUAGAGUAAAUAUAAAAUCGUGUGCGAAAAGAAACCAAUUCAGACGAGAAAUUAAUACAAGUUUGAAAUUAUUCUCGAUUAAUGAUAUAUAUAUUCUCGAUCGCAAUCGGACUGCCAUGUUUCGCGUCCGGUGACAAUGUCUUGCUAUCUACAGAAAUCCCACCGUACAAAUGCUGUCGGUAUUCGUAAAGAGUAAUGUCAAGUCUACCCUCUCUUCGAUCAACGUCGCACGGCACGUUCGAGCCCGUUGAGGAGCCAGCGUACGGCGGCAACGUUCGUCACGACGAGUCAGCACGUUUUGUAGGAGGGCUUCGUGGACGGGCCUUGGUGCUCAGUAUGCAAGCUCGGUGGUGGCCGCAUCCGUCGUCGUCGGUGCGCCUCGACAAAGGGAGUUGUGCCGCAGGCGGCCGUUUCUACAUUUUAAAGCGUUUCAAGAGGGAACCGUGUCACCAUCAUUCGCGACAGAAAACAUCACGGUUGCACCACGCUUCUCGUCGACGUCUUCGGAUUGCAUCGCACCGCACCGCGUUGCUUUCAUCGAUCUACGAGAGUUUGGAGCGUAGAAAUCAACAAGAUAAAACAUUGAUAUAAUUAAUAAUAAAUAAUGUUUAGAAAUUAUUUUUUCCUGUUUACUUCACGUUAAUGUCCAAUACUUUUUAAAUUAUAAAAAUUUCAAUAAAUAUUUUAAAAAGCUACAACAUUUAUUUUUUUGGAGGCAGUCCAUUAAUUUAUCGCAGUGAUAUAUCGAAGAUUAAAAAAUGCUUAAAAUAAUGUCGUUUUAAAUACAAAAUUAUGAAAUGUUAGAUUUUAUAGCAUCUUUUUUAAUAACUUUUUAAUUUUUAUUGCAUACAUUUUGCUAACAAAGAUUUAAAUUGGAAAUCAAAUUGAACUGUGAAAUUAAACAAAGCGUAACGUUAUUUUUUUAUACAGCUAAAUAUGCAUUUUAAUUCACGAUCAUUUCUUAGUUUUCAAUGAUUCACGUCGGUGCGUUGAUAUUGAAACAAAUGAUCCUUCUUGUUUUCAAGUAUCCCAAAGAGAAAGCGUAUAAUACUUAGGAGUAUCUUGUGCAACACCACACCAUACACGAAGCAAGCUAAAAAAUGUCUAAAUUAUACCAUUAUUUUCCUACCACCUACUACUCGAGUACCGUUAUUCGGUACCAGAUUGCCGUCAUUGCGGAGUAACAGUAACGCCCGGCGCACGCGGUGCCUCCUUGAAAAAUGCUUAAUCGCUCGACAGUCGUGAUUCGGAAAGGUGAGCAGAGGCGUGAACAAGGUGCAAGCACCGAUCGUUUAAAAUUCAAUGAUACUUCGGCACGCUAUCGAUAUGCACGCUUCAUAUCGCGCCUCUAAUCGACUCGUUCUAUUCCUCCUCGACUCGAUAGACGUACAAUGCGGUGCACAAUGGGCGCACAAUGGCAUGAAAACACGUAUAUAAAUCGCGCAUUAUGUGUCGUAUUUUAUGUGUCCAUAGUAUAUAGUAAAUACGUUUCGCGCGUUACCCUUUCCUUUAGGCUUUCCUUUCGCUCACUGCCACAAUUGUUGCCGAUAAACGAGUCUUCGCCACAUUGUGCCAAUGUCGUUUCUCGCCAAUCGCUCGACAUUGUAAUUUUCUCAAGAUGCAAAAAAAAGUUGUGUUCUGAACUAUUCUAUAAUUUACAAUAGUAUUACAUGCAAUAGUAUCUUGUACGUUGAACUAAUCUUGAUAAAUAUUUUCUGUAAAAAUGUCACUAUUUUCUUUAACAAAUUAACAAUUAAUAAAGAAUAAACUGUACUCAUGAGUGGCAUGAAACAUAAAUGUAUACCAUCUUUUUCUAUAAAUAAAUAAAUGUAAGAAAGUGAUUUUAAGUAUCACUGAAAAAAGAAAUAUUAAUUUCAUUACGCUAUGUAUAAAAAAAUGUUCUGCCAAAUCGAAAACAUAAUCCUUUUAAGCAAUAUAAAUAAAUAAAAUGCGUUAAAACGAAACACAAUUUAAUAUUAUCAAUAAAUAAAGUCUUGCCUUUUCGUAAUACAAAUCCGAUCGUAGACUUCUUAUUAAAUUCGCGGCGAAUUGAAUUUUCCCGUUAGCCUCGUGUUUCUCGUAGGCGCCGUAGAAAACUUCGUCCUCUAUAAAGCCCCCGAGUUUUCCUCCGCGAAAGAAAGUUCCGCAACGUCUCGCUUCAGCGCUGAACUUGGUAAUAAAAUAAUUAUUUUCAAACGACCUCAAACUUCGAUCACCAUGACCUAUUCUUUCUUCAAAUUUGAUGAUAUUAUCAAAUAUAAAGUUAAAAAAUAUAUAUAUUUAGAUCCAUAACAAUUCUUUAAAAUCAUAAUAACAGCAUCAUGUUAUAAUCAAAAUCUUCGUCUAAUUCUUUUUUACAUAUAUUUGUGAUAGAAAUUAAAAAAAAAUACAAUUUUAAGAGAAUUGUUCGUAAAGAAGUUCUUCCAUACUGCAAAAUAAUAACAAGAUAGAACUUAGAUUGAAUUGAUAUAGAAAUUUGUGCUGUACGUUAUUAUUAUUCGUUAUUUCGUAUUUCCAAUUCUUAUCACUUAGUAUUUUCGAAACAUUUAAAUUUUGGUACAGAGUAUAGCAUUUAUUCCAAUUAAUAAUGAGAAAAAAAAAAGAUUAAUGGAAUAACCCCAUUAGUUUCUUUUCUCUUUUUAAAGAGACGUGACACAUUAAUAACGUUUUCAUCAAUAUCGGAAACGUAGCUUUAGAGGGUACUAAGAGAAAUUUCCACUUUUGGCAUACGUCCAGAGGCUCGAUUGGUCGAGAAGAGCCGCACGUGUACGCAGGCAUGCAUGGCGCAGCUGGUUUGUACGCAAGCUUGCACUGUAGUCAGAGCAUAUUUAUGGAUUAGCAUACAAUGGUGGUGUUUAUUAAAGAUUCCUCGAAGGUUCCCACCUUUGACGCCGCCUCCGCGCUUCUUCACCGUUCUUGAGAAGCAUGAUGCCCUCCUCUCAGAAGCUUUUGCGUGUCUUCUCGAAAUGAUCUGAUCACGAGAGCAGUUUACAUUCUAUCUAGGCUAUUACGGUCAUUUUGAUUUUAUCAUCGAGCGUAGAGAUAUAGUAUUUUAAAAUAAUAUAUCGCUAUAUCCAAUCUUCAUAGGUUCUUUUUACCGUUGUAAAAACCGUUGCAAUCGUUUUACUUUUACUAUGUACAUAAAUAUUAAAAAUAUUCUCAUAACAACAGUAUGAAAAAUAAAUAUGCAUUAACUUUAUACAUAAUGUAUUAACAGAUAAUAAUAUACAACGCAUCGUGAGAUAAAAUAUAAUUAUAAUAUCGAAUGUCUUUACAGUUACGUAGUUAUAAUUCUUUGAUGUGAGAAUAAUUGGCUUUUACUAGAGAUUGAAUUUCAAAAUUAAAUUUCAAAAUUUUUCCCUCGUAUCGAUUUGUACAUAGUAUUUUAUUCAAAGUGUUAACAAGAGUGACCUUGUAAUUUUAGUGCAAAUAGAAUAUCAUCCAUUGGCAUGCAAGCGAAAAAAAUAUGUUUGCUGCAUCGAGAUUGACAGCUAGCUUCACUAGACCGAGAAUCCGUUAUGCAUUAUUCGACUGGCAGCUUUCCUCGAAUCGACACUUAACCAGAAGAGCGUAGAGAGCGCGGGCCGCCGAAGAACGGCAUAAAGAAGGCCGGCUUCAUCGGAAGCGGCUUGCAAGAAGGUACGGUACAGUGUUCCGAGACGAGAUCCCUAAGAAAAGGGAACCUAUCGGGCCAAGCAGCCGUCUCGAAUGCUCGUUUUGGUCAGCGGAGAUUCAUUCUCAUGCAACUUCAGCCACGAGACUUACUUGGAAGCACUGUGUACGUGUGACCACGUCCUAACUCUACUAGAAGUUCAGCGAAGGAAGCACUGGACGCGCUCCUUCCUCUCUCUCUCUCUCUCUCUUUCAGCGAGAUUCUGUCUUUAUUUAGAUUUGUAUUCGCAAUGCUUUAGUCUUAUCAAAUAAUAUCAAAAUUUUUGUAAUGAUGUUGCAAAAAAGGUAAAACAAUUUGUUUAAAUAUGACAUAAUUAUAGGUAUUAAGAAGAUAUUUUGUCGUAAUUAUUCCGUGUUAUGUAAGUAGAGAUAUAUCUAAUAGUAAAAUAGUAGAAAUCUCGACAAGACAAUUUUAAACAGUUUGUAAAUUUUUAUAUAAUUUUCAAAUGAUCGUUUUUACGUUUGUCUUUUAUUAGAAAUUUUGUUAUUUCAGUUUAUUAAUUUUCAAACUUUUUUCUCUCUCUCUCUCUCUUCGUUUUAAUCACCAAUCAUUAUUUUUCAUACCAUGACGCGUUGUAAAUUCAUUGCUGACAGCAAAAGCUAUCUCUUAGAUAUCUCAUACAUCAUAUGCUUACAUAAUGUUUCUACGAAGCAUUUAUUUAUAGUUAAGCGGUAUAUAGAACUAGCUGCCGGCUAUUAAGAACUAAUUAAACUUAUGGUAUCGCGCCUCGUAUCUUUCCACUCUCUUAUUUACCGCCCGAUAGUGAUUAUCGAAAUUUUAUCUUUGUUACCGUUUGUCGAAAUUUUUUCCUCAGAAUUUUUCGAGUGAGUCAGAUUCUUUCAACUCGGAGUUAUUUAGCUAUUUCAAAAUGUCCAAGAUUAAGAAAACAUAACAGGAUAUAACUAAUGGCACAUCGGACGCCAACGUUUUCAAUAAGAAGAUAAGCGAGUCUGGGUAAGAAGUGAUCAAACGAUCGUCUGCUCGGCUAAUAAGGAUUGAGGUUUUCUUCCGCGCGCGGUCCACGCCUCUUUCUCAUGACAUUAGGGUCGCCCGAGAACCAUAAGAGCGACGCCAAAGUGGGACGUUGAUAGAUAGAUCCCCGACAUUCGUGUUCCGCGUCGACCGCGCUCGGACGUACAGCGCCGCGAUCACCCAUUAAUUAUUACAUAAAUACGUAUAGAUUAAUAAUUAUACGCAUUAAUAACGGCGCUCGUGGGGUUACGAGACGCCGCAUAGGUAGCCGCAUGACGCCGACGCCGACGCCGACGACUGGCGGUGAAUGUCGCUGUAACGGGUGUUCUAAAUGUCAGCCACGCUUCACGACGAAAUUACGUGCUGAGCACUUUUUCUAACUUUCAAAACCGCUCAGUGUGCCCGUACAAGGCGUUUUUAAGGUCAUCGGGGCAAUUAUAUCGGCCGGUAAUCACAAGCGCGCUAGGCAACGGCCAUUAAGCCCGAUGCGCAUCGGUGUUCUCGUUAAUAAGUACACGAUCUAAUUACUCGCGGAUGAUAACCGUCGACACAGCAAUUCCUAAGGCGUGAUUAAUACGUGUGUUUACGGAAAUGAAAAUUUCAUCGAAUAUAGCACUACAUCGGCACCAUUACUGAAGUCCGUUUUUUUCUUUUUUUUUCCCCCAGCAUCCCACAUUCGACGUCAUAAAUAGACGAUACGUGGUAACGACGGGCACGUUGUUUCUCGGGUUAAAAAAUAUACGCUAGCCUUUUAUUGGCGCGAUUGCAUCUAUGGUAUAUGCCUACGUUUGAUAUCUCUUCGUAUCGAACGGUCUCAUCCUUUACAUUUUAUUGCCGCAAUUAGAACAGUGACACAAGCCAAAAAUAUAAAUUUUACAAAACAGUCCGUACUCGAUCGUCUCGCAUUCCACUGAAUUUUAUUAUUAUAACCGAACGGCAAACUGAAUAAAAUACGUAUGAGAUGUGAAACAUAAAUCGGCACAAUCACAAGUUUAUGCAAUCCAUAUGUUUGUUUAUUUUUUUUGUAAAAAAGAAUGUUCAUAUCUCUUCCACGUGUUGCAAUUCGCGCAGACAUGCGCUUUUCCUAGUUAUUCUCUCAUUUUUCUCGGUAUAGCAAUAAAAAUUCCGUUUCUCGGCGAGACUGCAGUCACUUUAAGACACACCUCGCUCGCGCUCGUCAGCAGCCUUAAGACGGCAAGCCAACGCGCCGAUGGAAUGCAGAAGCGAAAUUAGUAUCGCUGUCGUCACAAGCGCUUUCUCGCCACUUACAAGCUGUGAUGCUUUUUUAUCGCUCUUGUUCCCUUACGAUAUCGUUGAAGAGGCAGUACCAGCACAUGCAAUUAUCUAAAUGAAAACGCGACGCCGUCGGAAAGAUGAAUAUUUAAAGGGCGAUUUAACGGCAUUGUUUAAUUUCAAUAUUUUCCAAUCUUCCAACUGGUCUUCCUUUCAUUUUUCAAAAAUACGUAACGUAUUAUUUAAAACUAAAAUUAUUUUAGAUUACCAUUGCACGAAAUGUUAUACAUUUCAUUCACAUAUUUAUAUUUUUGAUCAUUUCUUUGAUUAAUGAAAUCAAAGUGCUAUAGAUUUUUUAAUAACGUAUAUUUGAAUAAACUUGCAUAUCACGUACAUAGUCUAAUAAAAACUGCUCCUAAACAUUUUCAGAAAACGAAAAGUCUUAAUCCGGAAAGCACAAAAAACAAAACAAAAUCUUUUAAAUAGCGUUUAGGGCGAGGUUUAGGGUUAAUAAGGUAAGUGCAAGUCGUCUUUUACUGCUUCCAGUGCUUAAAUGAAAGCUAUUGACGCUCGAUCCAGGUUACAGAACUCAUCGUGGAAGUACCCGUUGUAUUGCGUGAGUUCCAGAAGCGCAAAACGCAUUUGUCGAUUUGCACCGAGGAUGUGUCAAUAUUGACGUUGCUCUUGGGGAACAUGUUCUCCACGGGCGGCUUGUGUCUCCUCGAGUCCUGAAGGACCACCGACGGUGCGAGUGAGACAGGCAGAAGAAAGAGUGCGAGAAUGAGACGGCGCAAGAGGGAGAGAGAGAAAGAAA